rnacentral:rRNA from 1 species
UUGUUUUAGCAAUUGUUUACUUUAUUAUUAAUAGGUAUAGCACUGAAUAUCUCAUUUUAUUAUUAAAAUAAAAUAAAGAAGGAGUAUGUAAAUAUUUAUUUCGGAUAUUUAAUCUCAGAAUGAUUAAUAAAGGUAAGGUAAAUAAUGGGACUUUUUGCGAUAAGGUAUAAAGUCUAAAGGGAAACAGCCCAGAACAGUUGUUAAAGCUCCAUAAUCAUUAUUAAGUGAAAUAAAAGAAGUGAUUUUUUGAUGACAAUCAAGAAGUGGGCUUGGAAACAGCCAUCA